UACGGAGGGGGCUAGCGUUGUUCGGAAUUACUGGGCGUAAAGGGCGCGUAGGCGGCCUGCUAAGUCGAACGUGAAAUCCCUGGGCUCAACCCAGGAACUGCGUCCGAUACUGGUUGGCUUGAAUCCGGGAGAGGGACGUGGAAUUCCAGGUGUAGCGGUGAAAUGCGUAGAUAUCUGGAGGAACACCGGUGGCGAAGGCGACGUCCUGGACCGGUAUUGACGCUGAGGCGCGAAAGCCAGGGGAGCAAACGGG
rnacentral:rRNA from 1 species